rnacentral:rRNA from 1 species
GUUGUUGGGUAGGGGAGCGUUCUGUAAGCCUGCGAAGGUGUCCCGUGAGGGAUGCUGGAGGUAUCAGAAGUGCGAAUGCUGACAUAAGUAACGAUAAAGCGGGUGAAAAGCCCGCUCGCCGGAAGACCAAGGGUUCCUGUCCAACGUUAAUCGGGGCAGGGUGAGUCGACCCCUAAGGCGAGGCCGAAAGGCGUAGUCGAUGGGAAACGGGUUAAUAUUCCCGUACUUGGUGUUACUGCGAAGGGGGGACGGAGAAGGCUAUGUUGGCCGGGCGACGGUUGUCCCGGUUUAAGCGUGUAGGUGUGUGUUCCAGGUAAAUCCGGUUCACUUUAACACUGAGGCGUGACGACGAGGCACUACGGUGCUGAAGCAACAAAUGCCCUGCUUCCAGGAAAAGCCUCUAAGCAUCAGGUAACAUCAAAUCGUACCCCAAACCGACACAGGUGGUCAGGUAGAGAAUACCAAGGCGCUUGAGAGAACUCGGGUGAAGGAACUAGGCAAAAUGGUGCCGUAACUUCGGGAGAAGGCACGCUGACACGUAGGUGAAGUGAUUUACUCAUGGAGCUGAAGUCAGUCGAAGAUACCAGCUGGCUGCAACUGUUUAUUAAAAACACAGCACUGUGCAAACACGAAAGUGGACGUAUACGGUGUGACGCCUGCCCGGUGCCGGAAGGUUAAUUGAUGGGGUCAGCGCAAGCGAAGCUCCUGAUCGAAGCCCCGGUAAACGGCGGCCGUAACUAUAACGGUCCUAAGGUAGCGAAAUUCCUUGUCGGGUAAGUUCCGACCUGCACGAAUGGCGUAAUGAUGGCCAGGCUGUCUCCACCCGAGACUCAGUGAAAUUGAACUCGCUGUGAAGAUGCAGUGUACCCGCGGCAAGACGGAAAGACCCCGUGAACCUUUACUAUAGCUUGACACUGAACAUUGAGCCUUGAUGUGUAGGAUAGGUGGGAGGCUUUGAAGUGUGGACGCCAGUCUGCAUGGAGCCGACCUUGAAAUACCACCCUUUAAUGUUUGAUGUUCUAACGUGGACCCGUAA